CCAUCCUGCCAGUUGCUCAAGCC
rnacentral:siRNA from 1 species